GGGAAUCACCAGAAGUUUCCACCAAUAAGGUCACUGGGGACAUUUAUAUCUGAAUCUCAAAACCUGACUCCUAAAAGCAUGAAGAGUGAUGACAGCAAAAAAAACCAGAAUUCGGAAGGCAGCAGGGCUUCCUAGGCAGGCAUGGCCCCAUCCUGGUGGACGGGAUCCCAGUCAGAGAAAGCAAGUAUGUGAAUCAUCCUGCAACAUAUCAGCUUAAGGCAACAAAGGAAAAAUAGUCCAUGGGAAGAUGAAAAUAAAAUGCCUAUUAAAAUUGACUCUUUAGGAAUAUGUUGGUUUCGUAGACAGAGACAUGGCAUGUCACACCAUGGGCCAUGAACUUACGAGUAGCUAGUAACAUGGGAUCAGAUGGAGGAAAUGAAGGCGACAAAAGGAUGCGUCUCUUGAAGCAAAAAAAUAAUCAUGGCAACACUUCAUUCAUGGUUACAACAAGAUCAUCUGACUCCAAUGAUAAUCAGCCAGUCCACAGGAUCACCAUUAGCUCAGUCCGUGAAACACCUGAACAAAUGCCAAAGGAACUUGGAUGUAUUCCUCAUUCUGCAUUUUCUUUAUUUUUUUCAUUUAAACAUCUGUUUUCCCAUGUUGACAUAUGAGCUCAUAACUUACAGAACAAAGACAGCCCAGGCCUUCAUGCAAUGGCAUGCCUGUGUAGGUAGUGCUGGCCUUUCUAAUGCUUUCGAGGUACCAGUUCUGCUCUUUAGAGUUGCCAAAAUUUAUUGCCACUAUGUAAAGAAUGAAAAGAGGCACUGAAAACUUCUUACACAGGGUAUCACUUUGAGAACACAGUCAGAAGUUACAGCAUAAUGUAAUGAGGGGUAUUGGUUAAAUACAACUUUUUAAGGAAAACAUGACCACGAUUACUUCAUGAAUAGCAAUGCUAUGACCACUAUCACACAUCACUUCUAUUUAACUGCACAACACCAUAGCAUUUUCAAAACAAAUGAAACACGUGCCCUAUGCUGAAGCUCCUACAUUUUAGGAUCACAGUCCUGUAAAACAUGCACUUUUUGCAGAUCCUGGGGACCUCUUCAACACCCAAUGGAAGAGAAUUCCAAUGCCAGUUUUACCAGACUCUUGGACAAGCACAGAUGGCAGGAGCGAUGGAUUCGUAGAUCUACAUUCAGCAGAUGCAAAAGAACACAAUUUGGGGCUAUUUUUCUCACAGUGUGUUGUACUGAGGUAAAAACUGUGUGUUGUCUGUAUAGCACAGGAAUGGACAAGUGUUCCUGCUGCCUGGUUCGAGGGGCAGGCUGAGGAGGACAGGGAGUUAUGAUCCCUAUGUUCCAGACAAAUGGAAUCCCCUGUAGAGUGACAGAUGGUGCUUCAGCUUCUCCACUGCCUCAGCAUCUGUGCAGCACAUCUGGCCAGCUGCUGCUUAAAAGGACAAGGACACCUUCCUAUCACACCUUCCAAAUUUCUCUCAAACAUUUUCUUGUACUGAUUAUCUUUGCUACUCAACAAUGAAUGAGGCUGGAGAGCUAAACCAGCACCCAACUGUUUGCAUUUUCCAGUGCUGGUUUUCUGCUAAAUUGGCCUCCUGAUCCAGCUCCCUGUGAGUGGUCAUGGACAUUUCACUGCAGUUGGGAUGAGCCUCUGCAUCUCCAGGGUUGACCGCAGGCCACCAGGAUAUGCAGAAACCUUCAGCACUUCGGGACUGAUGCUGGUUCUCCAAACUCUCACCCUACAAACAAACUGCUUCUCACCAGCACCUUUCUCCCAGACAAUCUGACAGGAUCAGAAAGGAUUUCCCAUCCGCAGUGUCAGGGAUCUUCUGUGACAGGAAUGCACAGCCUUGCUGGGAUGAGUGGAGAUGAAAGCCACCUCCAUGAAGGCUCGGGACCUUCUGACUGAUGCUUGUGUUCACCAAACAAGCAUUUCCACACUAUGAUUAAUUGUGUUGUCUCAUCAAUGAAGUAAUGCUGCUGUUGUGUUCUGGUUCAGGGUUCUUCUGAAGAGCUUCUCUCUCCUCUGUGAGGGUGCUGGGAGGUCUUGUUGUAUGCUCUUGCAGAAAGUGAUGGCAGCACUUGGCCCCUAGCAGGAGCAUCGGUCCAGAUGUCUACAUCUUCAGUCAUAUAUAUAUGGAACCAUAGAAACCUAUGAAGCUGCUUUUAGCAGGCCCUGCAGAAAUUCAACUAGAUGCUGUCCCUGCCCUAAGAGACUUGCAGUCUAAUCUGGGAGAAGAUCAAAUGGAAAAGGAAAAAGAAAAACAUUAAAUAAUAACAGCAAAUGUUUAUAUAGCUGCUUGUACAACACAGUAACUAUAAGGAGCUACAGUCUUAAAGAUUCAAACAAAAUUAACUAUUAAGAGGAAGCACUCUGUAUUUGCACAGAGAAUCCAGGGAAGAUUUUGAGAAACCAAGAUGAUGACACAGUAGACGCAGACCUUCAAAGUUUUCAGGUACCUAUCUCCCAUGGGAGCUACCAGUGGAAGGGAAUGUGGUUGUCUGAUGAUUGCAGUGCUUUGCAGUACGGCUGAGAAACUCAAGCCCAACUCUAUGCAAUCUCGGGUACUGCGACAAGAGUGCUCCCUCUCCUACUACAUCCAACUGGAUUCAGACUGCAUUUUUCAUACUUGUGCUAAAUCACAACAGGGCUCAGACUGCCCUUUCUCCACCACUCCUUGCUCCUGUGUAUACUCAAUCUGGGAAAUACUGUACAUAAAGUUCCAGCAAUGCGGGGAUAGAGGAACUUUGUGCUUAGGAGAUCCCACGCCUAAAUCAAAAGUCCAGGACACAGCCAAUUUCCAAGUUACUUUUAAAAAUCAGAUAGUGUAAGCAAAUUUAUGUAAAGUAAUGCUGAUUGUAAUCCCACAGAGUAGAACUGCCAGCAGUGCUAAAUCAGAUUUAAACCUCAAUAGUUCCUCUUUCUUACCGCUGUUUUCCUGCUUUAUUCUUUCAUGCCUCGGUCUGUAUAGAUGAACAGAGCAGGAAUGAUAAAUGUGUUACAUAUAGCACUAUUUAUGCCACAUCAGGCUUAUACGUUUUCAUUCUAGAAGAAAGAAAAACUACCUCUCCUAAGAUCAAGAUUCUAAGGAGAGGAUUGUUGUUUUACUUUAUGCAUGAAAACAUUCAUGUUUCAGACAGCCAAUGCCUACAGCAAUGAAGAGGGAAGAAGGGAAGAUAAGAAGGGGCUUAGGCAUUCAAGCUUUAUCUUUUUCCCUUCCUUUGUCUUUCUCUCCUUCCAGACACACAAAAAGUAAGGAGCACUCAACAAUUAGCUCUUAACAAACCAGACCAAAACCCAAACAAAUCUCCUGAUCCUUAUCAGAGUGAUGACACAGCAACACAGUAUGUAUAGAAGAAUGAAGAAAAUAUUUUGCAAGUAUACUGGCUCCUGAGAAGGCAUUUUAUGAUGGGUUGUCACUUGCUGCCAAUUCUUCACAAAAAUCAUAUUGCACAAGAAACUGUGUGAUGCGAGAAGAUCAACAAUGUAUCCCCUGCCACCUGAGUCCCCCAUCUGACUGCACGUAUAACCUAGAAUAGAAAAGCUGUUUGUCUUCUUAUCCAUCUUUGAAGUCUAGCAGUUCAACGUUACAUACUGAAGGCAGGCAUUAAUAAACACUUAAUGUCAUAUGUCACACUGGCCUGAAAGUAAGACUUUGAAAAGUGUUAAAUGUUAUCCUGGAGAUAUUCAUCCCUGCUAGUUACAAAGCAGGAGGAAACAGGACUUGCUCAUGGCUUCAAUUCUUAGCCUUUGGCAUAUAUCUCAGAGGAAAUACCUUUAUUUCAAAAGCAAAUUCUGAAACUCUUAUUCUGAUUAAAUUGUCUUCAGCAUAAACAGCUGCUGUGUCAUUCAAGUUUAUGCUGGAUACUCAAUGGAAAAGUCCUUCACAGUUGUUUGUGGUUAUUUUCGGUGGAUGAAAUGGGUUCAACAGUAAGCAUGGGUAGAACUUCUAUCCACACAGUAGUAACAGCAAUAGUAAUAAUAUAAAUAAAACAUCAUCUGCUAUUAUCUAGUUUUGCCAAGAAACUUCUUAUCAGAAUUAAGAAUUUCCAGAUCUGUUUAUUUCUAGGUGUUUGUGGAGUACUUCAAUAUAUAUGUUAAACAUCAGAGUAACAUUUCUGUUCAGGAGUGAUGAUACUGCCUAGGAAUUACCUCUAUGCUUUCAGAAGUUGGUCAUUCUCUGAAGAGAGUCCUGAAGACAAGAUCAGAAACAAUAAUGAAGAAAACUUAAAAUAAAAGGUUGGAAUGAAAUGGCCUCCUGGAUGACCAUGCAACAAGAUCCAGACAGCAAAGAAAAAAAAUCAAACCCUCAAUCAAAAAAAUCAUGAUACUGUUAUAGUUCCCUUAGCAUAGCAUGCCAAGGACCCCAAGCAAAAAUAGUUCUGGUUUUCUCAGCUGAAUGGCUCCUGAAAAAAGUCUAGAUGUACAGAAAGGAAAAUGGAUAUAAUUCCUGCAGAGGAUGGGCUUUGAUACCACAGCUCAGAUAUGGAAAAUAAUUCAAAGUGUACGAGAGAGGUCACAGAAUUUUGACUGCAGAUAUCUAGCUAUCUCCUACUAUUUCUUUUGCCCUGUCUUUCUCCAGCUGGAAUAUUUCUCUUAAGCAAUGGACAGGAAAUAAUACAAUGAAACACGUUACUGAAAUCAGAGUUCUCUGUCAGCUUCUUACACCAUGAGGUGAACUUCAUUGUAACUCCUCUGACUUUCUGGACUUAAAUAAGGGAGAGAGGGAAUUAAUGAGUACAGUAGGAAGAAUGACAGUAAAAAUAGACUCACUUUCAAGAGUUACUGUGAAGUACAUCAGGGUUUGAAAUUUGCUAUAUAUUGGCCAGGCUUGUAUGAGUUGCCCCCGUUAAAAAAAACACCCAAUUGAAUUCUGGUCUGAAAGAAUUCAAAUCUUAAUUUACAUUGUCAGUAGCAAUUCGUGUGAUUCAGUAACAGGAAAUGUUUGUACUCAAAUGCCAUAAACAAACCCUACUAAGAAAAGUUUGUUUUUAACAGCUAGAUCACUUAUCUUUGCUUAGCAUAAGUAUUUUUUCCAAGAAAUCAUAAAGAGAAACAUACAUCUAGAAAUUCUGCGCUGCAUAAAAACAUAAAUAUGCCAGACUUUAACUGUGCUUUAAUCAAGAUCAUUUUUAAAUAUACGUACAUUAAAGAUUUAGCUCCUGUUUUAUUGGUGUUCCGGGUCCCAGGGCUGACGUGCUGAGCAGGGUGUCGGGGUUGCAUUGGAUGAGCAGUAUCUGCCAUCUGCUGGAGGGACGUCUGCUAGCACUGAUGAGCCUGGAAUGAUUUGGUCAGGUGGCCAAACACAGGAAAACUGAACUGAUAGGACUCCGGAAGAACCUGAGAAAGUGAAACUUAAUGUGACAUAACAGAGACUUUCAUAUGUUUUUUACCAGAGGGGAAAUGAGUCACGAAGUAAUCCAAUGGAAGAGGACUGGAGAUUUGGUUUAAGCCCUGACCAUUGCUCUGUACACGAUCCCACACUGCUCUCAUUUUAGCUCAUAAACCCCACUAAAAACAUGUUUGUGUUCACAGCAUUUUGACAGAACAAUCCUCCUCUAUCCACUCUGCGGGUAUUUGCCAGAAACAGUGUUAAUAGCAUGCAGCAAUACUGCACAUUCAAAGAGAAAAGAGCCUCAGUCUUCUCUACUUUUUUUUUUUUUUUAAUGUAAGUAAAAAAGUAUGUACGUUAAACCUGGUGAUAAAACAUUUUAAAAGGGAAACAAAUCCAAUGUUCCUGUAAUGUUAUUAAUAAUACAGAUGGCUGCUGUUACACAUACAUAUGUUGCAUACAGAUUGACUUUUGCAAUAAAUUUCUCUGAGAUUUUCACAGAAAA
ensembl:lncRNA